CAUUUUAUUAAUAAGACACCAUUAAAAUCAUUGCUAUUUAUUGAAACCAAAGCAAUAGUAUCAGUAAAAUCCAGUCAGUUUUACUUUCCUCUAAAAUCCACGCAAGGAAACUCAAUUCCCCUCAGACACUGGUGAAUCUCCUAUCAGACUUACUCUGUGCUCUCCAAUACUCCAUGUAACAACAACUCCAUUUUAAUGCAAUGACCGCUAUGAAAAAAAUAAAACUAUCAGUCAUUGUCAAAUACUUUAUAAAUGGAGACAGAGGAGGGGUUCAGUUCUCUGUGUAACAAGAAUAGAGGAGAAAGGCAUUUGCAGUGUCAAAUCUACAGAGACAAGUGCAUCUGGAGACAAAUGACCAGACUGCCAUAAAACAGAAGCUUAAUUAUGUUCACUUACACUUUCGAAUUAUUCCCAACAAAUUACCUUG